CGGGCUGUAGCGCAGUUUGGUAGCGCACUGCACUGGGGGUGCAGGGGUCGCUGGUUCAAGUCCAGUCAGCCCGACCA
rnacentral:tRNA from 1 species